rnacentral:rRNA from 1 species
UACGUAGGGUGCGAGCGUUGUCCGGAAUUAUUGGGCGUAAAGAGCUUGUAGGUGGUUUGUCGCGUCUGCUGUGAAAACCCGAGGCUCAACCUCGGGCCUGCAGUGGGUACGGGCAAGCUAGAGUGCGGUAGGGGAGAUUGGAAUUCCUGGUGUAGCGGUGGAAUGCGCAGAUAUCAGGAGGAACACCGAUGGCGAAGGCAGAUCUCUGGGCCGAUACUGACGCUGAGGAGCGAAAGCGUGGGGAGCGAACAGG